ensembl:lncRNA
UGUGACCAGAUUAUUUUUGUAGUCUAUGACUAUGUCCCUUACUUCUUUCUCCUUGGUUCUACGUAGCAAUAGGAAAACGCUGCCCCAGCGCCUUACGUCGGGGCAGCCGGGAGCACGAAGGACAAAUCUGCGGCACAGAAUUGCCAGCAUUCCAGAAGACUCGCCCAGCUGAGUCUUUCAAUUUGGGGUGCCAAUAUUCAGCAGACCCGACCUCAGGAUUUUCUGCAUAGCUCCCCGGAGGAGAGCUCCCUGCACUCGUAACCCAUGUGUUUGCCAGCCCGCAGAGUGAGACCUGUCAGCCUGACAGUCAGGCAUUGAUGUAUGGAUGUAAAUUGGUGGGCAUCUGAUGUGGGAGCAGGGUUGGGUUGAAAUGCAGCUAAAGAAUUGGUGCUCGGCACUCAGCAGUGUGCCCCUGUCGCUCUCGUUGAUAUGCAGGCUUAAAGGGAAGAAUGAGAAUUGUACUUAUAAUUAGGGGUGGGGUUUUCUAUUUGUUGUUGAAUAGCACAUACGAUAAAGUGGAUGUGAUUAUAUCUUAGAUUGCUAUUUCACCUAUGUCUUCUGCCUAUACAGCAAUAAGAAAUGAUACCUCCCUGUGGAAAAAAAAAAUAAAUGCCAAAAAUACCAUUUCAAAGGGAACGGGGGAGGGAAAGACAGAGAGAAAAGGGAAAAGUAGUAAAAUGGAAUAGUGAUAUUUUUUGUCUUUAACGAUAACUGCUCGUGUGUAACUUGUGUAGGGGAAAAGGGAAAAUUGCACUUUGAACUUCAGAGAGAAACAGUGGUGCUUAGAAAGAAUAGGCUCAUUCUAUUUUCUGUAACGAAAGGAAUGGCUAUUUAUAAAAAGAAAUACUAUUUUGACCUGUUUGCAUUCCUUUCUGCCGUAUGGUUUCAUAACAGCGAUUAGCAGAGCCAGAUGAACCUGAAAAAAGGUAUCAAGUAAACGAUAAUGUAAGAAUUGAUAGGUCACUGAUCUUCUGAUUCAUCAGUGGGCUUCGUUAAACAGGAUCAGGCUUUGAGGAGCAGAGACAUGAGACACUCCCAGCUCAGGAAACAACUCUGAGUUGUGUAUGCCAAUGCCAUUAUUUUCCUACAAACUGUUGUGGGGUUUAUUCUGUUGGGUUUGGGGGGGAUUAUUUUUCUUUUUGCAAGCACUUUCCUGUACAGUUUAUUUCUCUUUUCUUUCUGGUGAUAUUCAAAAAGGAAAUGGAAAGAUCUGUAAGACAAGUCUGUUGGGUCUUUCUGCAUUUGCCAUCGUAUUUUAAUGCCUGUAUGCUAUUAUAGAGGCAAAAUACUUUGUACACAAGGGAAUAAUACAGUGAAUG